GAUUGCGAGGUCGACAUGGCACACGGUUACGCUUUUAGCGUACAAAAAUACCGUGAGAAUUAUCGUUUCUAGAUACAUAUAAUUAAGAUUCACAAUGAAACAUACUAAAUGAAAAUGAUAUAGAGCUGCAAUGAUAUUAGUGAAACAGUAAAGGUCAACUUUUACUAAUUAUCGUUUGAGCAGAGGGGACUUAAUACUGCAGGAAUAUAAAUUUAUUAAAUAACUUCCAUUAAUAUGUAUAGCUUCUUAACUCUAAAAUAACCAGCUUCUAUAGUGAAGAUAAAUUAUUGCAAGAUAAAAAAGAAAAGUAAAAUCCAUCGCCACAAGCAUUUUGAUUUUUCUAUGGUUUAAUUUAUGAUUGCACGCUACAUAGAUACAUAUAUUGUACUCAUCUAAUAUCGGAGUAACCACAGAUUGAUUACAAGGAAAAUUUAUGAUGGAGCAACAGGAAAGCACAGAAGGAAAGGAAACACUAUCCUUUAUGGGUUUUUAGAACGCGAGUCAGAAUUUACGUCAUUGUGAUUUCCAAGAGACCGGUUCCUCGAUGCAAGCGAUGACCUUGAAAACAGCGACAUAACAAGAUCUCGAUAGCCCUAUAAGUACUGUUGGUAAUUAAUAGCGACAAUGAUAAAAGCGAUGGUGGUCGCAUGCAACUGGCCAUUCCCUGUUUCAGUAAUUAAGUUUCAACGUCGAUGAGGUUAUCAUGAUAUUCCGGCUAGGCUAUUAGUCUACAAGGGGACCUGAAGGUGGAAUGAGUAAAGUUACUAUACGUCUAUUAUAGUUUGUGAUAAUAUAUUAGAAUCCGUUAACUGACUAGCAAGUUACAUAUGACUUACGCUUACUUAUUGCCUCCUACUCGUUACUUGUUCUAUUCUCCUACUAUUUCUGUUAAUUGUACGAUACUUUUACAGGACUGCCUUUCGAACUACGCUUUUUUAAUAUAAGGAACUAUAACAAAAAUAAAUUAUGAUUAAUAAGUUAGUCAAUUCAAGCUGCAAUGACAUUGUACCUAUAUAUAUAUGUAUCGAAAAGUAUACUUUAAACGAGUCUUUGCACUUUGCAUUACUGAAUGAAUAAAGCAUAAAUCUUUGUUUUAUCUAAACGAUCUACGCGAAAAAAUAAUGCGUUGGCUCAUAUUAUUUUCUGUACGACGAUAGCGUAUCUAUCGAACUGUACAAAAGCGCGCAAAGUUACAUUUCUCGUCCGUAUUCAUAGUUGCACUACUGAAACUCGUCUGAUUGUGAGAUCAAUUGACCUUCACUACUUGCAAUCAAUACAAAGCUGCUGUUGGUACAUCGCGAAGUAUCUGACAUCCCAAAAACCCCGCUGAAUAUGUUCAACGAAACGAUAAAAUUUCGCCUUGUUACAAGAGUCUACUUGAAAUCCACGAAGAAGGAAAAUACUCUCGACGUUCCAUUGUGCGGAUUUUAUUAACGUUCGUCUAACGACUUAACGAGCGUGAAGCUUUUUGCACCGGUUUAGAGGUUGCGUUAUGAAGGGGGAAAAACUAAAGGAAAGGCGACGUAUAGAAAACUAAAGUGUAUCGGUGAAGAAUUCGAGGUCAUUCUCAUGUAACAACAACAGCGAAUCAAUGCCAGAGGAAUGUACGAUGAUAGGCACGCGAAGAAUGGAUCUACCCCGAAUCAUUUAAGCAUAGAGUCAUAAAAGCAAGAGCUCUCUAGCAAAAAUCACUGUUCCAUCAUAAUUUACUUCUGUAUGUAAUAGCAAUAGAUAGGAGAUAAUCAAUACAA